rnacentral:rRNA from 1 species
AAUCAACGCUGGCGGCGUGCUUAACACAUGCAAGUCGAGCGGUAAGGCCCUUUCGGGGGUACGACGAGCGGCGAACGGGUGAGUAACACGUGGGUGACCUGCCCUCCAGCUCUGGGAUAAGCCUGGGAAACCGGGUCUAAUACCGGAUAUGACUCCAUGACGCAUGUUGUGGGGUGGAAAGCCUUGUGCGGCUGAGGAUGGGCCCGGCGGCCUAUCAGCUUGUUGGUGGGGUGAGGCCUACCAAGGCGACGACGGGUAGCCGGCCUGAGAGGGCGACCGGCCACACUGGGACUGAGACACGGCCCAGACUCCUACGGGAGGCAGCAGUUGGGAAUAUUGGGCAAUGGGCGCAAGCCUGACCCAGCGACACCGCGUGGGGACGAAGG